AACCUGGUUGAUCCUGCCAGUAGUCAUAUGCUUGUCUCAAAGAUUAAGCCAUGCAUGUCUAAGUAUAAGCACCCUUAUACUGCGAAACUGCGUACAGCUCAUUAUAUCAGCUAUUAUUUAUUUGAAGGUCACCUCUUACAUGGAUAACCGUGGUAAUUCUAGAGCUAAUACAUGCGAAAAGAAGGCCUUUAUUGGCUUUUGUAUUUAUUAGAUAAAGAAUCAAUACCAGUUCUGCUGGUUUUAUUGAUGAAUCAUAAUAACUGUUCGAAUCGCACGGCUUUGCUGGCGAUAGUUCAUUCAAAUUUCUGCCCUAUCAGCUUGUCGGUAGUGUAGUGGACUACCGAGGCAUUAACGGGUAACGGAGAAUUAGGGUUCGAUUCCGGAGAGGGAGCCUGAGAAACGGCUACCACAUCCAAGGAAGGCAGCAGGCGCGC
rnacentral:rRNA from 1 species